AGAAAAUAUCCAUCCGGAAGUCAUAAAAGAAAGAAGAAGAAGAAGGCAGAUGACGAGAAAGAAGCAUUGAGCGGAUCUCUUUUUAAUUAUUAUACGCCCAGUAAUCCAGACGAGUUGGCGAUAGUUCUUGCGGGUGACCGAACUGAUUGCAAUCCGGAAGAUGAUGGUCAUACUCCUACAGAAGGCGAUGUUGACGUCAACAUGGAUGAUAGCAAUGUGAGUGAUCAUGAGCCCAUAUUUAAUUCAUCUGCGGCAGAAUCUACUAGUGUUGAUGAUGAACCAAUUAGUGUGGAUAUUUAUGAUCCAAGCAAUUGGGGUAACCUUGAUAACAAAGCGAGGGACAUAUUAGUGGAAAAGGGG
rnacentral:rRNA from 1 species